AUUGAACGCUGGCGGCAGGCCUAACACAUGCAAGUCGAGCGGCAGCGGGAAAGUAGCUUGCUACUUUUGCCGGCGAGCGGCGGACGGGUGAGUAAUGCCCGGGAAAUUGCCCAGUCGAGGGGGAUAACAGUUGGAAACGACUGCUAAUACCGCAUACGCCCUAUGGGGGAAAGCAGGGGACCUUCGGGCCUUGCGCGCUUGGAUGUGCCCGGGUGGGAUAAGCUAGUUGGUGAGGUAAAGGCUCACCAAGGCAACGAUCCCUAGCUGGUCUGAGAGGAUGAUCAGCCACACUGGAAAUGAGACACGGUCCAGACCCCUACGGGAGGCAGCAGUGGGGAAUAUUGCACAAUGGGGGAAACCCUGAUGCAGCCAUGCCGCGUGUGUGAAGAAGGCUUUCGGGUUGUAAAGCACUUUCGGCGAGGAGAAAAGGUUGAUGCCUAAUCCGUAUAAACUGCGACGUUACUCGCAGAAGAAGCACCGGCUAACUCCGUGCCAGCAGCCGCGGUAA
rnacentral:rRNA from 1 species